CCUACGGGUGGCAGCAGUGGGGAAUAUUGGGCAAUGGAGGAAACUCUGACCCAGCAACGCCGCGUGAAUGAUGAAGGUCUUCGGAUUGUAAAGUUCUUUUCUAAGGGAAGAAGAAAGUGACGGUACCUUAGAAUUAAGCCUCGGCUAACUACGUGCCAGCAGCCGCGGUAAUACGUAGGAGGCGAGCGUUAGCCGGAAUGACUGGGCGGAAAGGGGGCGUAGGUGGUUAGGCAAGUUAGUAGCGAAACUCCAAGGCUCAACCUUGGAACUACUACUAAAACUGUUGGACUUGAGUGCAGGAGAGGCAACCGGAAUUCCUAGUGGAGCGGUGGAAUGCGUAGAUAUUAGGAGGAACACCAGUGGCGAAGGCGGGUUGCUGGACUGUAACUGACACUGAGGCACGAAAGCGUGGGGAGCAAACAGGAUUAGAUACCCUUGUAGUC
rnacentral:rRNA from 1 species